CUCCCUGACCCUUUAAGGGUCCUGAAGGAACGUUGAAGACGACGACGUUGAUAGGCCGGGUGUGUAAGCGCAGCGAUGCGUUGAGCUAACCGGUACUAAUGAACCGUGAGGCUUAACCUUACAACGCCGAAGCUGUU
rnacentral:rRNA from 1 species